rnacentral:sRNA from 1 species
GACCACUCCUAUUGGGAGUCGAGGCCAUACGGACAGCCGGGUCCACUGCCGA